rnacentral:rRNA from 1 species
GAUGAACGCUGGCGGCGUGCCUAACACAUGCAAGUCGAGCGAACAGACCAGGAGCUUGCUCCUCUGACGUUAGCGGCGGACGGGUGAGUCACACGUGGACAACCUACCUCUAAGACUGGGAUACCUUCGGGAAACCGUAGCUACUGCCGGAUAAUAUAUUGACCCGCAUGGUUCACUAGUGAAAGACGGUUUUGCUGUCGCUUCUAGCUGAAUCCGCGCCGCAUUAGCUAGGUGGCAAGGUAACGGCUUACCAAGGCGCCGAUGGGUACCCGACCCGAGCGGGUGGACGGCCACCGGGGAAGUGAGAAGCGGUACAGACACCUACGGGAGGCAGCGGUAGGGAAUCUUCCGCAAUGGGGGAAAGGCUGACGGAGCAACGCCGGGGGAGUGAUGAAGGUCUUCGGAUGGUAAAACGCUGUUAGGAGGGAAGAACAAAUGUGUAAGUAACUAUGCAGGUAGUGACGGUACCUGGUCAGAAAGCCACGGCUAACUACGUG